GCAGAGUAGGUCUGUGUGCGUUAAGUGCCAGCCGGACAGGGAGUUGCCGGCAGGACGAAAAGAAGAGGCUUCUUCUUGCGGUACACAAGCCGCAUCCCGCUGC
rnacentral:ncRNA from 1 species